AAUGAACGUUGGCGGCGUGGAUUAGGCAUGCAAGUCGAACGGGCCGCAAGGCCAGUGGCGGAAGGGUGAGUAAGGCGACGGUAACCAACCCCAUGGUUGGGUAUAGCCGCGGGAAACUGCGGGUAAUCCCCAGCGACGUCCGGAUCGGGCAUCCGAACCGGACCAAAGUCCUGGCGCCGUGGGACGGGCCGUCGUGGUAUUAGGUCGUUGGCGGGGUAAUGGCCCACCAAGCCUAUGAUGCCUACCGGGCGUGCGAGCGUGGCCCGGCACACUGGGA
rnacentral:rRNA from 1 species